rnacentral:rRNA from 1 species
AUUGAACGCUGGCGGCAGGCCUAACACAUGCAAGUCGAACGGUAACAGGAAGAAGCUUGCUUCUUUGCUGACGAGUGGCGGACGGGUGAGUAAUGUCUGGGAAACUUCCUGAUGGAGGGGGAUAACUACUGGAAACGGUAGCUAAUACCGCAUACCGUCGCAAGACCAAAGAGGGGGACCUUCGGGCCUCUUGCCAUCGGAUGUGCCCAGAUGGGAUUAGCUAGUAGGUGGGGUAACGGCUCACCUAGGCGACGAUCCCUAGCUGGUCUGAGAGGAUGACCAGCCACACUGGAACUGAGACACGGUCCAGACUCCUACGGGAGGCAGCAGUGGGGAAUAUUGCACAAUGGGCGCAAGCCUGAUGCAGCCAUGCCGCGUGUAUGAAGAAGGCCUUCGGGUUGUAAAGUACUUUCAGCGGGGAGGAAGGGAGUAAAGUUAAUACCUUUGCUCAUUGACGUUACCCGCAGAAGAAGCACCGGCUAACUCCGUG